UACAGAGGGUGCGAGCGUUAAUCGGAGUAACUGGGCGUAAAGGGCACGUAGGCGGUUAGAUUAGUCUGAUGUGAAAGACCUGGGCUUAACCUGGGAUGUGCAUUGGAAACGGUCUAGCUAGAGUAUGGGAGAGGGAAGUGGAAUUUCCGGUGUAGCGGUGAAAUGCGUAGAGAUCGGAAAGAACACUCGUGGCGAAGGCGGCUUUCUGGCCCAAAACUGACGCUGAGGUGCGAAAGCGUGGGGAGCAAACAGG
rnacentral:rRNA from 1 species